rnacentral:snoRNA from 1 species
GUGAUGAAAACACACCCUGUGGAGCGGUGACUUAGGUCUCCCUUGCUGA